rnacentral:rRNA from 1 species
GUCUAUGGCCAUACCACCCUGAACGCGCCCGAUCUCGUCUGAUCUCGGAAGCUAAAACACCCCAUGCAUGGACUUUCUUGUAGGCU